rnacentral:rRNA from 1 species
GACGAACGCUGGCGGCGUGCCUAACACAUGCAAGUCGAACGGAGUUACUUGUUUAGAUCUCUUCGGAGUGACGAACUUUUAACUUAGUGGCGGACGGGUGAGUAACACGUGAGCAACCUGCCUUUCAGAGGGGGACAACGGCUGGAAACGAUGACUAAUACCGCAUGUGGUCCUCGGAAGGCAUCUUCUGAGGAAGAAAGGAUUUAUUCGGUACAGGAUGGGCCCGCAUCUGAUUAGCUAGUUGGUGAGAUAACAGCCCACCAAGGCGACGAUCAGUAGCCGACCUGAGAGGGUGAUCGGCCACAUUGGGACUGAGACACGGCCCAA